rnacentral:tRNA from 1 species
GGGGCCGUGGCUCAGUGGCUGAGCAUCUGCUUGGCAUCCCGGAGGUCUGAGGUUCAAUCCCUAGCAGCUCCA